rnacentral:lncRNA from 1 species
CUUGCAGAAAUCUUCCUUGAAAACGAUUCCAAGAUUCUUACAUGCUGAACAGUUCUUGGUUUUUUUCCAGAUGGCGUCUCGGUGGUGUCUCAUAACAAACUGCAUGAUGACCUGUCUGUGUCUGCCCUCCUCCUUUCUCCCCAACCGAUGAACCGAAUCCACCAUAAUGUCCAUCCUCUCUUUCCACUCCGGAGCGAUCUUGGACAGGAUACUGAUGAUGACAUCUCGGAUGUUCUCGUCGUCUUUUUCUUUUAAUCCUUGAAUUUUUAGGUUCCAUCGCCGUUUGUAGCGUUCUAUUUCAGCUACUUUUUCUUUCAGCUCUUUGUUUUCUUUAACAAGUUGUGGAACUUCUUUUUCCAUUUCUUUAAUUUUUACCUUGCAUUCUUUAAUCUCAGCUGCAUUCAUUUCCACAAGUCGAGAGAUAUUUGCUACCAUGACGGAGUUUUCUUUUAGCUGGUGACCAAAGUCCUCAAUUUUGCAGGUUAAUUUUUCAAUAGCGGUGAUUAGUGCUUCAUUCUGAGGGACUGCAGGCUCUUGAACAGGUUUCAUCUUUUGUGGCGGAGCAGAAGCUUUAGUAGGAGUACUCGGAGCAGGUUUCCUUUUCAUGUUGCUGCUUACCUCCAUCUGGGUGUAGUCGUGGUCACAGGUGUUUGUUUGUAGCGCUGUAGCUAGCUUAGCAUCGGCUUUUUUCAUUCUUAGACAAUGUUGUCUCGGCACACUGAGAGGUUUGAUAUUACUAAAAGUAUUCAAAUCGAAUAUGUCUUCAAUGGGGAUAAGUAUAUCAGUCCCAAAAUAUAUAUAUUCUUUUCACAAUCCGGGGCGAGGUUGGGCGAGCUUAGGUAAAGCGUGUCGCUCUUACCGCCAUGCCAGCGGAAGUCCAAGAAAGUUUCCUUUUGUGAUGCCAGCAGAACGUGUGUUUAUCACUAUUCUGUUCCUCAGAUCACAUGUCCUCUGAGGAGAAACACUUUUAUGUCUGCAUCAACCACCUAUCCCAGAACAUUCUGCUGUACAGCCUGAUAAAAGAGGAGGAGUCCAAGAAGAAAAUAGCCUAUCAGAGGCUACUUUCAACUUUGAACCAGUCCAGGGAUCAUACAGAGUGACAAACAGAAGAGAAGAACUUCUAAAUGAAGGUGAUUAUAAAAAUACUUUUUUGGGCAAUAUUUAGCCUUAAAACCCCACUGCAAUCAUCUUUUGACCCACAGUAAAAUCUUUCUCAGUGGUCUUUUAAUGACGAUUCU